ACGUAGGAGACGAGCGUUAUCCGGAAUUACUGGGCGUAAAGCGCGAGUAGGCGGAAGUGCAAGUCUUUUGUGAAAGCUCCUGGCUAAACUGGGAGAGGUCGAAAGAUACUGCACAUCUGGAGUAUGGAAGAGGGGUGCGGAAUUCCGGGUGUAGUGGUGAAAUGCGUAGAUAUCCGGAGGAACACCAGUGGCGAAGGCGACUUGCUGGGCCUGAACUGACGCUCAGACGCGAAAGCAUGGGGAGCGAACGG
rnacentral:rRNA from 1 species